rnacentral:rRNA from 1 species
GAUGAACGCUGGCGGCGUGCUUAACACAUGCAAGUCGAACGAUGAAGCCCAGCUUGCUGGGUGGAUUAGUGGCGAACGGGUGAGUAACACGUGAGUAACCUGCCCUUAACUCUGGGAUAAGCCUGGUAAACUGGGUCUAAUACCUGAUAGGAGCGUCCACCGCAUGGUGGGUGUUGGAAAGAUUUAUCGGUUUUGGAUGGACUCGCGGCCUAUCAGCUUGUUGGUGAGGUAAUGGCUCACCAAGGCGACGACGGGUAGCCGGCCUGAGAGGGUGACCGGCCACACUGGGACUGAGACACGGCCCAGACUCCUACGGGAGGCAGCAGUGGGGAAUAUUGCACAAUGGGCGCAAGCCUGAUGCAGCGACGCCGCGUGAGGGAUGACGGCCUUCGGGUUGUAAACCUCUUUCAGUAGGGAAGAAGCGAAAGUGACGGUACCUGCAGAAGAAGCACCGGCUAACUACGUG